UACGUAGGGGGCUAGCGUUGUCCGGAAUCAUUGGGCGUAAAGCGCGUGUAGGCGGCCCGGUAAGUCCGCUGUGAAAGUCGGGGGCUCAACCCUCGGAUGCCGGUGGAUACUGUCGGGCUCGAGUACGGAAGAGGCGAGUGGAAUUCCUGGUGUAGCGGUGAAAUGCGCAGAUAUCAAGGAGGAACACCAAUUGCGAAGGCAGCUCGCUGGGACGUUACUGACGCUGAGACGCGAAAGCGUGGGGAGCAAACAGG
rnacentral:rRNA from 1 species